UUAGCUCAGUGGCAUAAGCACCUGUCUUGCAAACAGGCAGUCAUGGGUUCAAUCCCCGGUA
rnacentral:tRNA from 1 species